GUCGCUUGUCACAGUUUUGGGUUAGUCCGAAAGUAGCAUUAUCGGGGUUAGGAACUUGCUUUAAGUAGGGCCACCUACCCAUUAACCUAUCAAUGCAGUUUGGGUUCUAUCGAAAUUGCAAGCUUACACUGUAAUAGAUAAGAAAACGCAACCUGGGCAUACUAGUGAACGCCAUGCCGGUCGUUCUCUUUCCGUUUUAACCUUGGAGGUGAUCAGACGUACAGGUGCGACCAACCAAAAAAAAAAAAACACACCCACGUUUCUUUCUAAUUUUUUUUGUAUUUCGAUAUUCUUCGGUGAGUUAGUUUCUAAAGUGAAAUUCGCUUUUGCUAAUUAUUUUCGUCUUUAGUACCCAAGCCCAGAUUAGAAAUCCCACCAACUGUAUUUAAAUUUGGGGUUAGUUCGGUGCCAGAUCAAAGGUUCUGGCACCUUGUGCUACCCACAAGCAACCGCCGGCUCCAAGCCGUACCACCAGAGCAGCACGUCCAGCAGAGUAGCCGAUGCACAUCGAUCAUCAGAACAUCUCUUUUGGCCGAAGCCAUCGGUGUUCAAGUGUUAUUAGUGUGAAUUAAUCUACCCCCGCAAAAGUUCAGUGAAAACAAAACCUGUAGCGAAAAACGAAAAAAAAAAAAGGGAAAACAAAAGCCCCUCACAUUAAGCGGUUCAAUUUUUUUUUGGUUAUACCACGAGGUGGCUACACUGUGACAAACUAAUGGUGUUACCGCACGCAUUACAAAACAUGUGCUAAUACACUAAUAAAAUAAUUGGACACCAACGAUCGCCAAAACAAAAAGAAUGAAUUCAAUUUAAAACGUUACGAAAACUACGAGUUUACUAUACCCGA